rnacentral:rRNA from 1 species
AUUGAACGCUGGCGGCAUGCCUUACACAUGCAAGUCGAACGGCAGCGGGGGAGAAGCUUGCUUUUCCUGCCGGCGAGUGGCGAACGGGUGAGUAAUACAUCGGAACGUGCCCUGUAGUGGGGGAUAACUAGUCGAAAGAUUAGCUAAUACCGCAUACGACCUGAGGGUGAAAGUGGGGGACCGCAAGGCCUCAUGCUAUAGGAGCGGCCGAUGUCUGAUUAGCUAGUUGGUGGGGUAAGGGCCUACCAAGGCGACGAUCAGUAGCUGGUCUGAGAGGACGAUCAGCCACACUGGGACGGAGACACGGCCCAGACUCCUACGGGAGGCAGCAGUGGGGAAUUUUGGACAAUGGGCGAAAGCCUGAUCCAGCAAUGCCGCGUGUGUGAAGGAGGCCUUCGGGUUGUAAAGCACUUUUGUCCGGAAAGAAAUGGCUCUGGUUAAUACCUGGGGUCGAUGACGGUACCGGAAGAAUAAGGACCGGCUAACCACGUGCCAGCAGCCGCCGUAA